rnacentral:rRNA from 1 species
AGAGUUUGAUCCUGGCUCAGAUUGAACGCUGGCGGCAUGCCUUACACAUGCAAGUCGAACGGUAACAGGUCUUCGGAUGCUGACGAGUGGCGAACGGGUGAGUAAUACAUCGGAACGUGCCCGAUCGUGGGGGAUAACGAAGCGAAAGCUUUGCUAAUACCGCAUAAGAUCUACGGAUGAAAGCAGGGGACCGCAAGGCCUUGCGCGAACGGAGCGGCCGAUGGCAGAUUAGGUAGUUGGUGGGAUAAAAGCUUACCAAGCCGACGAUCUGUAGCUGGUCUGAGAGGACGACCAGCCACACUGGGACUGAGACACGGCCCAGACUCCUACGGGAGGCAGCAGUGGGGAAUUUUGGACAAUGGGCGAAAGCCUGAUCCAGCCAUGCCGCGUGCAGGAUGAAGGCCUUCGGGUUGUAAACUGCUUUUGUACGGAACGAAAAGACUCUGGUUAAUACCUGGGGUCCAUGACGGUACCGUAAGAAUAAGCACCGGCUAACUACGUGCCAGCAGCCGCGGUAAUACGUAGGGUGCAAGCGUUAAUCGGAAUUACUGGGCGUAAAGCGUGCGCAGGCGGUUAUAUAAGACAGACGUGAAAUCCCCGGGCUCAACCUGGGAACUGCAUUUGUGACUGUAUAGCUAGAGUACGGCAGAGGGGGAUGGAAUUCCGCGUGUAGCAGUGAAAUGCGUAGAUAUGCGGAGGAAC